CUACUACUACAAAUCACCACCACCUCCUUCGCCAUCUCCUCCACCACCAUAUUACUACAAGUCCCCACCUCCACCAAGUCCAUCCCCUCCACCUCCAUACCAUUACUCAUCACCUCCACCACCUGUGAAAUCCCCACCACCUCCAUAUCAUUAUUCCUCACCCCCACCACCUGUCAAAUCCCCGCCACCUCCAUAUCAUUAUUCGUCACCCCCACCACCAGUGAAAUCCCCGCCACCUCCAUAUCAUUAUUCGUCACCCCCACCACCAGUGAAAUCCCCGCCACCUCCAUAUCAUUAUUCGUCACCCCCACCACCAGUGAAAUCCCCGCCACCACCAUAUCAUUAUUCAUCACCACCACCCCCCGUCAAAUCCCCACCACCUCCUUACCAUUACUCUUCACCACCACCACCAGUAAAAUCUCCACCACCUCCAUAUCAUUAUUCAUCACCUCCACCACCAGUGAAAUCCCCACCACCUCCAUACCACUAUACGUCACCACCACCUCCAGUAAAAUCACCACCACCCCCAUAUCAUUAUUCAUCACCUCCACCACCCGUGAAGUCCCCACCACCACCAUACCACUAUUCUUCACCACCACCACCAGUAAAAUCCCCACCUCCUCCAUACCAUUACUCAUCACCUCCCCCACCUGUGAAAUCACCACCCCCUCCAUACCACUACUCUUCACCACCACCACCAGUCAAAUCCCCACCUCCUCCAUACCACUACUCUUCACCUCCACCACCGGUGAAAUCUCCACCUCCCCCAUACCACUACUCAUCUCCACCACCGCCAGUGAAAUCACCUCCACCACCGUACCACUACUCAUCUCCACCACCUCCCGUGAAAUCCCCACCUCCACCGUACCACUACUCAUCACCUCCACCACCCGUAAAAUCACCACCUCCUCCAUACCACUACUCAUCACCACCACCGCCAGUGAAGUCACCUCCUCCCCCAUACCACUACUCAUCACCACCACCACCAGAAAAAUCACCACCCCCACCAUACCACUACUCAUCUCCCCCACCCCCAGAGAAAUCUCCGCCCCCACCUUACCAUUACUCAUCCCCUCCACCACCCGUAAAAUCCCCACCUCCCCCAUACCACUACUCAUCCCCACCACCACCCGUGAAGUCUCCACCUCCCCCGUAUCACUAUUCCUCACCCCCACCGCCAGUGAAAUCACCUCCUCCCCCAUACGUCUAUUCAUCACCACCCCCAC
rnacentral:lncRNA from 1 species